UGCGUAGGCGGGUUUGUAAGUCAGUGGUGAAAUCCCCGAGCUUAACUUGGGAACUGCCGUUGAUACUAUAAAUCUUGAAUAUCGUGGAGGUGAGCGGAAUAUGUCAUGUAGCGGUGAAAUGCUUAGAGAUGACAUAGAACACCGAUUGCGAAGGCAGCUCACUACGCGAUUAUUGACGCUGAGGCACGAAAGCGUGGGGAUCAAACAGGAUUAGAUACCCUGGUAGUCC
rnacentral:rRNA from 1 species